CCCUCGUCCCAUCUUGCCGCCUCGCCUCUCCUCUGCCCUGGUUCUCCUGGCGCCGACACCCCUUCCUUCCUCCUUCCCCACCCCUGUCGCGAGCCCCUCCUCUCUGUGCCGCCGACCGUCGCGGCGACGCAGAGCAAGGCGCCAAGCCGCGGGAGCUCGCCGUGCGCGUGGAGCUCAUCCACCAGCGAGGGCCCCUGCACCAGCGACAACACCGCCAGAUGCCACACAACAUCACCCACGCCUCCUUGUCCUGCUGGCCUCCGCGACGGUCGGCGACGCGGAGCAGGGCACCGAGCCGCGGGAGCUCGCCAUGCGCGUGUAACUCGUCCACCACCGAGGGCUCCCGCACCAGCGACAACACCGACACCCACGCCUCUCCUCCUUGGUUCAUUCUCACCUCCAUCAGGCAGGAUGCAACUAUUGAAGAGAAGGCUAUGAGCCAAGAAGAAGUGAUGAUGAAUAUGGUGUAAGUACCUGCUGUUCAUAGCACUUGAGGGAAAGGACACCCAGAAUAAGAGGGAAAGACCACUACAUGACUAGGUGAGCUUCAUUUUGAGUUUUUCAUUUAAGAAGUGAUGAAGGUUAUUUCAUAUGUAUGAUUAAUAGAAAGUUGGUAGUUACCUUUCUGUUAUUUACUCAAAUGACUGUACUUAGAAUUACCUUCAGACUUUACUCGAUCUUGGUUUAUUUUCCAUCUCCAAUUGGAUUAAUGGUUUGCAGCCCAAGACCAAUGUUUUAUGGUUUUCUUAUUCCUGAUUUAGUUGUAUAUUUGAUUUGUAUGUGUGUGAUCUAUUAUUGCAAGAGCUGAUUAUAUAUGAUGAGCUGCCUCACACCAUCAUUUGGUCUCUGUAGCAUUUGAGUCGGCAAAGUUGCUGUAGUCGCAUAAUCCACCUAAUUCUUGACAAGUCAUCCGUUUCUCUGAAUGUGUUGUAUAUGUGCUGGACUUUUCUGCAUAUCACUGUACGUACUAGACAUUGAUGCAGUUUUUGGACAGUACAUUUGAACCGCUGAUUUGGCCUCGCUUAAAAAAUAAUAAGCAAGAAACUUCGCAAGGCAAAGCCUCUCCUUUUAAUUCACUAGAUUCCACUCAUUGCGCCCCUGGUGCAAGGCAUGAAUGAAGAGAAGUUCUGUUUGAGUAUUAUCACCAUACAUUCGUAGCAGCAAUGCCAUAUAUAAUCAUGCUUUGAGUGUUUUGCCUUGCGAUGUUCAGCUUGUUCUUGUUUCUUAAUUUUGUUGUCAGCUUGCCUUGUUAAGCUCUAUGGCAGGUGGGAGGAUCAUUCAGUCGACCAAGUGCAAUUUGAUGGUAAUAUAAAAACUGAGAUUAUGAAAGCAUCUUUUGUGCAUGUAUGGUAGGCAGACUUAGUGGUGUAGUAUCUUUCAGAAUCAUUGCUAGGUUAAUGAUGUUGCAGGUUUUGCUUUGACAGAUCCCUCGUUUCUUAGCACCGGCAGGACUAUGGUGACAGGGAGCAUCAGCAACUGCAAUUAAUCCAUUUGUGCAUGGAAUUGGGAUAACAAGAAGGUAAAUGGCUUGCAUGAUCCCUUUUUUUUGAAUGUUUGGUGUCCACUCUCUGCGUCAAACUUAGCGUCAAAUAAGCAGAUCCUAGCUGCAGAUGGGGAGGUAUAGAAUGCUUGUCUAUAAGCCCAAUUAAACUGUUUGCCCAUGUGAGAUUGUGUAAUUUUACUCUCUGCUGCUUGCGCACCAUGGACCUGGAAGUACUGGAUCCUGUAUAUUGCUGCAGAAAUUUGAUACUCUCUUUUUUGUCAAGGUUGAGAAAUACUUAAGAAAGCUUAGUACUAUUUGAUGGUUGUAAGCAUGAAGUUGCAGUAAUUAAUAUAGGAAGGAAUAUACUUCAAACUUUACUCCGGGCUAUGUUGAUUAUCUGGCUACAUCUUUGGAAAAUAUUGCUAAAUAUCCUACUUCCAUUGGCAUAUAUGUUCCCUCUCUGGCUGAUUUAUGUAAAAAGUAAAUCAUUUAUGUGGUUCAUGGUUUCCCGAUGUACUAAUGUAAAUCAAGCAUAUUUUUCCUCCUCCUGCAAUUCUCUUAUUCAGAAAUUUUGUACGAUACAUAUUUUGAAUACAACGCUUUCUUUAGGAAAGAAAACCCUGCUCUACAGCUGCCCGUCAAUUCCAUAUCAGUUGACAGGCAAUCACCGCGCCUCUAUGUCGCUGCUAUGAGUUUUCUUAUUCAGAAUUUUGUAGGAUACAUAUUUUAAAUACAAUGUUUUUUAGGAAAGAAAGCACUGCUCUUAUAACUGUCUGUCAACUCCAUAUCCGUUGACAACUGAUCACCGCGCCCUUCUGAUGAUUGCCGCGCAUCUCCGUCGCUACUGUGAGCCUGAUCAGCGAUUCAAACAUUUCGGUGAACUCCUCAUCUACUUUGUCGCCUCCUGCAUGAUUUCAGCAUUCUCAAUCUUUGCUUGCCUUGUUGAGCUUCUCCUAAUCUUUCUUUCCCUCUUCCUCCUGAUCUAUUUCUCUCCCACUGCCCCUCUUCGUUCCCAAACCAGUGGCUAUAUGUGGGUGGAAAUCUGCACUUUUUGCUCUCUUAUGCCAUCUUUGCAUUGCUUAUUCAUGUUUGGACAACUACCUUCUAAUUUAUCAUGUGAGUAUCCUUUCUUUGCAGAUGAAGAUAUCAUAUAUUUAUUAUAGUUUUCUCCAAUCAGUUUGACACCAUUGUUGUGAUUGACGGCAGAUUCAGAAAUUUGGAGAUCAUCUUUUUCAUGCUAUCCGUGAAGGUGAGACUUCAGGAGAAGUAAAACGUCACAUACACAGAAAAUUCCAAGUCCCUGAUGAGGAAUUCUAGGUGAUCUUAUUAGUUUCUUUAAUAGAUGUGAUCAUAAAACUACCAUGCUUCUUUCCAUAUGCUAAUAAAGUAGAUGCAAAUAUUGGAACCAACAUGGAUCUCGUGAUCAAUUGGUUUUGAUGUGUUGAGCCGAGGGUAGUUCACAUACAAUACUACACUCUCAAAUUUGAUUAGUAAUUUUCUCAACGAAUAAAUAAAGUCACUGUUGUCAUAAAACGAUCACUGGUGAUGCAAUCAUGGUAGACCUUAUAGAAGGGCUUGUGAAGUAUUGCUUGAGCUACAGCCACAUAUGCUAAAUUAGUAUAAGAAUACAGAAUGUAGCGAUUCAUCGAUUUUACAUUUCCUUUUGAAAAUAAUUAUUUUCUAGGGGGAAGUUCUUUGGACGUUUUAUCCCUGUUCUGUUUUGUAUCCUUUUUUUCUCUGUUUUUACCCUGGGAUAUUUGUGCAUUGAUCUUCAGUUAUUUCUCUAUUUUUUCCAUGAGCUACCCUGACAAAAUAUUCCUCCGGAUGCCAACGGUGGCUUUUGUUCAUUUGAGUUAUUUGAUAGAUGCUCCAUUUGAAAUUAGAAAUAAUAAAUUGAUAGACUAGAAGUUGCCGCACGCCGGUCGUCGUCCUCUGUCCUCUAUAUAUGGCUGCAAAGCAUCCAUGGGUUUGCUAUCGGCCUCGUCCAGUUGUCCAGGCCCUUGCCCUUUGUCCAAGCUGGCCUUCCAAGGUAUGCACGGCGUCAUGGGAAAGGUCGAGCAUCAGCAUGGAUGGUGUCUCGUGACUCAGCCCUGCCCCUUCUCUUCAUCCACUCGCCCUUCUUUGGGACACAACGGAUAGUGUUGAGUGAUCAGUACCAAUGGCUCCUUUUCUUUGCGCUUUUUUCUCUCAUGCUUGUAGUAAUACUAAUUAGGGGAUUGUGACUAUGUUUUCCAUAUAUUGCCAUAUUAUUUUUGCCACACUUGCCUAACUUGAGUUGCUCAAAUUGCUAGCCACACUUUGGCUUGCCUAAGGGAAUCUUGCCACACUUUUUGUGUCUAUAAUAUGUGGGUUCACUUCUCAUAAAAAAAAUAUUGCCUUAGACGUGGCUAGAACCAAACACCCACCUAACUUGGUCAAAUUUGCCUAAGGUGAGGUGUGGCAAAGUGUGGCAAGAUGUGGCUAGAAACCAAACAGCCCCUUAGUCACUUACCCUGAAUAUUUUAUCUCUUUGUAUGCAAUUCGUAGUUUCACACACUAAACUAGACUAUUUUGUCAUGUUUUCUUCAGGUUCCUAUGUAGGUUGUUCCUUGCAAGGGCACAACAUCGUCAAUUCUGGUGGUGGUUAGACAAUUUGCUAUCAUGAGGUUUGUCUUCUUAACAAGGUAUACAUUUUCCCCGAUUUUACUCCAAUCGGUUUCAGUCAGGCAAAUCAUGAUAACCCUCUUCUUAAAGCAAAAAAUAAUAUAGCUCUCUUCACAUGUUUUGGUGAUCUCAUUUUUCCUUUCAUUUUUUGCUUUAAGAAAAGGGUUAUCAUGAUGACAUGUUCCAUAUACUCUAAUGUGAUAAAAGAAUGGGUUUUUAAUAUUGUAUUGUUUUUUAGAAGACCAUAUAUAUUACCAGAUUAUAUUGAUGAGGUACAGAGAACAUACAUAUGUAUAACCUUGAAAAUUCCUUUGUGUGUGCUAUGCUAUGCCUGAGGCUUACAACUAUCCAUUUGGAAUUCCUAGAGUGCACAACAAAUGCUUAUUCAGUACUAAUGGAAGAUUUUGUAUAUGUUUAGCAGUUCAAUGUUUUCAGGAUUAGAAGCUUUUUUAAUAACUUAUCUGAAAUUUGUAGCUCAAUAGGUUACCCAUGUAUGUAGGUGUAUUUAAGUCUUUCGUAGAACAAGAUUAUUGAUAUAUCUCCCAAAAAAUCUUUUCCUUUACUUGGAACCAAAUUGUUCAUUAGCAAUUGUUAUUUGGGCACUAUUUUAUACAAGAUGCAGCUUAGUGUGCACUGAAACAGUACCCACGGAGUUUGGCACAAUUGGUAAAAGAUUACUGCUGAUGAACCGCAAACUGUUACAAAGAACAUGUGAUGCAUGUAAGCAUGCUCUCGCAAGUUCGUCUUUGUUCGGCUCUUUUCGGGUACGGAAGCUUCACUCACUAAUUAUCAACUGGUAUGACAUUCUUCUCUAUGCUCCAUUUCAUCCCGGAGAGGCUUUGUAAGGCAAUUGCAUAUUGUCUUGUGUAAAUAAUAUUAAUUCCAUAUUUCUUUAGGGAGGUCAACUGAAGAUAAGAGCUUCAAAAGUUUGGCAAAAUUCCUUGACCCAUAGUGAAAUUAGAUUUGUACAUUGUCUCGGAUAUGAGUUGAAGCUUGCAACAACAUAUAUAGUUAAUUUUUACAGCUUCCGCUUCUACAAUUAAUUUUAGAGCUUAUGCAGCUAUGAUCAGUAUUUCCACCGAAACUUUUACAGUCUGAAGGAGAAAUCCUCUUGUGGGGCUUAGCAGAAGCUGCCUUUUCUCAGUACUUGACAUACUACGUAUGAUUCCUUUUAUUAUUAAUAACAAUAAUACUACUAUAUGUGUUUACUAAAAUUUCGCAUGCUAAAGACUCUUAUGUUUUCACCAUCACCAUUUGAUUGUUUUGAUAUUUAAAUUGCAGCACUUGUUAACUCUUUAUAAUUGAAAAGGGGUCCCUAAAUGUAGCGUGUACCUAUGAAAAAUUUGGACAACAUGAACAUGUGAGGAUUCUGUUUUGCAUUCGGUUGGCCUUCUAAAGAAGAUUUAGGGAGGCAGUAUGUCUCAGGUAUUUAUGACAAAUGUUCGUUACACUUUAUUCUUUCGAGUAGGAAUUAGCCUUUUCUCUCUCUUUAACAGAGUACAUUACUUUGGAAAUUUUCAAUUGUUGCCUGCUGUCCAUGCACAAAUUAGGUACUCUUAUAUUACUUCUGAGCUUCUACACAAGUGCCUACAGAUUUACUUGAUUUAUUAGAUCAUACAAACUACUACAAAGUAUACUGCAGAAUAUUUGUUCUCCACUAACAGCAACACCUUCCGUUAAAAAGGGAAUUAUUUCAUUAUUGGAGGCUUUCAUGUACAUAUUAUUGGCAGCUCAUUGGCGGUUUGGAUUUCUAUAUCAGAUGAGAAAAAAUGAUGCCUCCUGAACAUUAGUUGCAUUUUCAGUUUUAGCCUGUCUACGGGUACUAUGUAGAGCUCAUGCUUCGUUGAUUCAUCUCCCUGCUGCUACUGAUGGUGCCCAAGGGGUGGUCCAGUCUAGAGGACAUGUAUUUCUCCUCGCUUUUGAAAUUUUAGAACUGAAUCAAAUUUUCAUCAGUAGACAAGCUGAGUUUAUAGUAUAUAAAUUAUGAGAGGAUCAUGCCUUCUCCUUUCAAUA